GCCUGGAUAGCUCAGUUGGUUAGAGUGUGAUGCUGAUAACGCCAAGGUUGCAGAUCUGAUUCCUGUAUAGGGCA